rnacentral:rRNA from 1 species
GACGAACGCUGGCGGCGUGCUUAACACAUGCAAGUCGAACGGAAAGGCCCUGCUUUUGCGGGGUGCUCGAGUGGCGAACGGGGGAGUAACACGUGAGUAACCUGCCCUUGACAUUGUGAUAACUUCAGGAAACUGGGGCUAAUACCGGAGAGGAGCUCCUGCUGCACGGUGGGGGUUGGAAAGUUUCGGCGGUUGGGGAUGGACUGGCGGCUUAUCAGCUGGUUGGUCGGGUAGUGGCUUACCAAGGUUGCGACGGAUAGCCCGCCUGAGAGGUGGACCGGCGACCAUGGGCCUGAGAGAGGCCCCAGACGCCAACGGGACGCAGCAGUGGAGAAUAUUACGCAGCAAGCGGAAGCCUGUGAUGGCAAUCCCCCGUGCGUAAUACUGUCCUACUAGUGGUAAACCGCUUUCGCCGGAGACAAGGCGGUAUUGACGGUACCGAAUAAGAAAGCACCGGCUAACUACGUG